UGAGUUUCAUUAAACUCCAGGAGUUGGUUAUGGACAGGGAGACUUGGCAUGCUGCAGUCCAUGGGGUCACAAAAAGCCGGACAUGACUGAGCAACUGAACUGAAUAAAACUUACUUCCCUGGUAAGCAACUAUUUGAUUCUGCCCUUUGAAACUCAGGGAGGUCAAGGAGGCUGAAUGAGCCCUAUUUCUUACAAACAAUGGAACCGGGACAUAGAAAGGGUUUGUACCUGGGAGGGCCCCACAGGGUUAUCCAUACCCCUCAGUCACACACACAUUGGAACUGGGUUCAGAAAAACAGGGUUAAAAAUCAUGUGUGUUUGGACAAAAUCAUAUUUUCUGCCAUUUCAAUAAACAAAGGAAUAAUAAACAAUAAACAAAGGCCCACCAUCAAGCCAUCCAUCACUUUAGCCACUCCAAAGUGCAACCAGAGGGGAAUUUAGAACAGAGAUAAAAUGGGAUAGGGCCCUGGCCGUAUUCCUUUGAUGAACAUCAAAAAGCCCAGACUUUUGCAUUGUAGAAAAGUACCAAAAUCAUUAAGUUGAGAUGUCUGUUUUUUGUGAUUAGCAGUGAUUUUUGGAUGUUCAACUACAUGUUUUUUAUUUCUUUUUAUUUUCUUCUUUUUGUAUGUUUUAUUGAAAAACUCCUAUGUAUCCUGACCCUUCUUUUAACUCUUUGUAACAAUUCCUUAGAGCUAUCCAAGAGGCUGAUUCCCAGGCUAUCAUCGUCAAUAAGGUCCCUGAAUAAAUCAUAGCUCUUGACUUUUAGGUUGUCCUUUUUUUUUUUUUCCCCAGUCAUAUGUGCAAGAAGGGUUGAGGGGAAUAACUGCUGGGACAAGGACACGAGAGGGCAACCAUGGAAAACUCUCAGCCCUCUAAAAGUAAAGUAGUAUAUGAGCAAAUACAUGUGACCCACCUCCAUCCCUUUAGUAUCAGCACCAUUCCCUUCCCUUUGGCUCCAGCCAUGCCAGUGCCCCGCCUCCUCACAAACGGAAGGACCUAACACCUGGGGCUGGGCCUUGGAAGAGGGGCUGUAAGACCACGGCUCUGGGGAGGAGGGAAGAAAGGAGAAGAACCUGUUGAACUAGGAGGAAGCAUUCUUGUCAUUCUCUCCCCAGACUGAAAAGGAAAGCGAGUGAGAGAGCAAGUGAGGUGAACUGGAGAGGGGAUGAGGAGGGACUGUGAAAGUUUGGACGUUCUCCCCUUCUGAGUCAGAAGCCGGUGGGUGCCGUGUUGUCUCCUUGCUUCCAGCAGGAUCUGAAGAAGGCAAACUUCGGACUGCUCUCAUCUUGCAAGGCUGUGUGUAUGACAAGGGGCAAGGUUCGGUGCCCAGAGGAGGAUGGAAUUUGAUGCGCAAUAGACAGAUUGACUUGGGGCCUCUGCAUAGCCAUGCCAUCCCAGAUGCAAGAUGGGAGAGGCUCGCCCAGCCUGCAUUCUUCUGUGAAACGUAAAUUUGCAAGGCAUUGCGUUGGCCAGUGCCUAAGUUCCCUCAUCCAUACAUAAUAAAAUGCAUCAUGUUUUCAAGUUAACCAACAAUGAAAAUUGGUGAGUAUCUUUUCCUUUUUCUUCUUUCUACAAUGCAAUCAGAUAGGCUAUUCCUGUCAUUUAUAACAUACAUGUGUCACAGAAGGUGAAUUCAUCGGAGAAGGGAGAGGGACUGGGGAAAAUGUGAAAGGGACCUCUUAAUCUGUCUCAAGAUUUCAGUUCAGUUCAGUCCAAUGUUGCUCAGUCGUGUCUGAUUCUUUUAAUUCAGUUUACUAACAGCGCAAUGGAUUAAUCUCACUCCCUCUUUUGAUGCACAGUGAAGAGGAAAAGUAAAAGAAGGAUUGGAACAAGACUCCAGGACAGAGUUUUAAAUAAAGUGAUGCUUAAUAAAUAUGCAAUGAAUUGAUUGGUCAAGGAGAAACAGUUAAUGACAGACACCCAAUUCAGGGCAACAGUUCAACAAGAGUCCUGGAUAAGGAAGCUGAAGCUGAAACAGAUUAAGUGACCAGUCCACCGUCCCAAAGGGAUGCUUCCAGGACCAGAACCCAGGUGUCCUGACUCCCAGGCCAGGCUGACUCCUUGGCUCUAACUGCGUCUCCUGAGACUUUGCUUUGGGUUCAGCUGCCAUUUGGAUUCAGCCACGCGGGACACUUCUCCCCAGACUGACUUUGUGCUGCUCCUGACCUCUCUGCUAGACUUGUUAAGAGUAUGCCUGCCACAGUGCUUUUAGAACUAGGUCCCAGAGAUAAGCACACUCAUUUUUGCUCAGAAAAAUCCCCAAAGCCACCACCCUAUUGAAACCAAGCAAACCCUGUGAGGAUCCCAGGCACAGAAACUUUUUGGUGUCCCCCAUUUUUUAUGUGUAAGGAACAGGCUCCAGGACCUUCCCUGAGUUCCACAGGGCAGAUUCAACAGGUGCUAAUCAGGAAAGGGAGGAGAAGCAAGACAAGGGAGAACAGGUCAAGAAAGAAUAGCACAGCCUUGGGGCAAGGCCUCUUUCUGCCUCAAGGGAUACACAUCUCUGUACAGAAUUAAACCCCCAACAGAAGGAAGGUGAACUAUUUGAUGAAGCAUUCUUCAUUCCAGAGAGAAGGUCAUAGUUCUAUAACCUUCAGAACCACAAAAGUUCCUCAAGAGACAACCUGAGACCAGAUUAAAAGAAUGCAGGCCCUGCACACACCCUGAUCCUUAUCAACUAUCCUGCUCCAGAACCACUGAUAUAAAACUCCUCACCAAAUCCAUCCCCAGGUUGGAGCACACCGUUUUUGAUGGUGGGAGCCCACUAUGUCCCCCUUAGCCUGGCAAAGCAAUGAAGCUAUUCUUUUCUACUUCACCCAAAACUCUGUCUCCAAGAUUCAAUUAGGCACCAGGGCAGAGAGGUCAAGUUUUCGGCAUCGUUAUGACCUCCUAACUGGAAUCGCUGUCAGAAGCACUUUGUGAUUUUCCUAUCUGGCUCAGUAAUCCUGGGAAAAUCACUUCACCUCUUUCAACUCCAGCAUCUUUACCUGUAAAAUAUGGAUGAUAAUACAAUCCAUUCAAUGUUGUUGACAAGAUUAAAUGAGAUAGCUGUUUUGAAGGGCUUACUAGGUGCUCAGCAAGGGUGAUCUGCCCAUCCUUCCUCCUCCCUCUUGCUUUUUCUUCUUUGCUAUGGUUCAUCUUGCAUGUCACUCCCAGACUGAUCUUUCUGAAACUGCACUCACAUCAGGCUAUUCCCUGGAUCACAAGUCUCAACUGACUUCCCACUGCCAAGUCCAGUCACCUCUCCAUGUACCAUGCAGGACCCUGGGCCACCAGCCACCCACUCCACUCUUCUCCCAUGCUUCAUCUCCCACUGCUCAGGAACACACUCAGUCUGGUUGCACAGUUCCCAUUCACGCUGACUAGUUCCUCUUUUCCUUUGCUUCUGCUAGUUCAACCCCCUGGAAUGCCCCUCCCUGCCUCUCUAGCCCUGGAGGCAUCCCUCCCUGCUAUGUGAAUCUCUCCCUUCUCUUAUUUCCAACUCCAUUUCCUAUCUGUAUCUGUUGCUUCAGCACCAAUCACAGAGUUACAUCAGUCUUCAGGUUGUUUCCCCUGCCUAUAUCUUUCCUUAUCAAUUUUACUGUCCCUCCAGGGCAGUCCAAGGUCUUUACCACUUUGAGUUCCCACUAAGCCGGUAGAGUUAAGUGGGUACACCAAAUGAAUCCACAUCUCCAGGCCUGAGUCCAAAUCCCAGGCACAGUAUUUCCUUGCUGUCUCUUUUUCUCAGCUGUAAAAUUAAUAAUUUGACUUCUUUGGUAGAGCGUUGCUUUUUUCAAAUGUGCUUUGCCAUCAAAUAAAUAUUCACUGCAUACCUGC